rnacentral:lncRNA from 1 species
CGGGUGUGCGGUUCCAAGAAGUGAUUGGCUGUGGAGAUUAGAAAUUCAGGAACCUUUGCAACGGAAAGCGGCCCCGGGCAGGCGCCUUUUGAGCAGAGGAGUAAAACCGGUAAGUCAGCAGUGGAACCCGCCUCCCCGGAAAUCCUUGGAGGGGGCGGGGCCCUGGGGGGCGCGCUCUUCCCAGCGGCAGCUGGGGAGGCGCAUGCGUACUUGCGUCAUCGUUGGGUAGCAGCGGGGAGGCGUGGGAGGAUCUGAGGCCUGCGGUGGGCCUUGGUCCCUUAUGUCCCCGCCCCGAAGCCGCCUGCUCCAGCUGAGGGCCACCGGCCUCUAUCCGUCGGUGCCGAUGCUCCUUGCUUCCCAGCCAGAGCGUCUCAUCUCUGGGCCCGGAGCCCCAGGCUCGUUCUCCUCAGCCCCUGCCGGCGGCGGCGCUCUUGCCGCCAUUCCUGUGAGGUCGUUUUCCGGAGCAGCCGGGCCGGCCGAGGAGUAAGUAGGCGCCAGAGUUCUAGCUCGGGCAUCUGCCUCGGGGCCCUGUCGCCGCCGCGCCCCGGAUCCUGCGUUGGUCCUGUCCGAUAAAGCGGAGGUCGGCCCUGCUUGCUGACGAGACCGUA